UACGGAGGGGGCUAGCGUUGUUCGGAAUUACUGGGCGUAAAGCGCACGUAGGCGGCUUUGUACGUUAGAGGUGAAAGCCCAGGGCUUAACCCUGGAAUUGCCUUUAAGACUGCAUCGCUAGAAUCGUGGAGAGGUAAGUGGAAUUCCGAGUGUAGAGGUGAAAUUCGUAGAUAUUCGGAAGAACACCAGUGGCGAAGGCGACUUACUGGACACGUAUUGACGCUGAGGUGCGAAAGCGUGGGGAGCAAACAGG
rnacentral:rRNA from 1 species